CCAAUCCCUCCACUUAACACAUAACACAAACGACACACAAACACCAUCCCUUUCAUAUCCCUCCUCUCCCCUCCUCUCUUCCCAUCGCAUCUUCUUCUCUCUCUCAUGGUGAUCGCUGCAGCAGCGGCAGCAGCUAUUGCUUCUUCGCUUUCACUCGGUUCUUCCCAUUGUCAACUAUGCCAGGCAGAUGCCUUUUGCUGCUCAACAUCACACGGGGGCACAAAUAGCUGGAACAAGUCUCCUAUUGACAGUUGCAGACCUUGUGACCUUUCCAGCAUAAGGUACAGAAAUCCAUUUUUUGGAUCAACACAGUUCCAAUGGUCAUCUGUGGGCCGUAAUCUUUGCCUUCAGAAAGUUUCAGUUGCUGCAGAUUACUCCGAUUCGGUUCCUGAUUCAUCUAAUUACACAAGUCAUCGAGGUUAUCAUCCACUAGAAGAAGUGAAACUUAGCAAAAGGACUCGUGAAACUCAGCUCACCUCUGCUGAAAUAGCAAGGACAACUGUUGAGGCUAAUACUAGUGCUUUGCUGGUUUUUCCUGGAUCCGUACAUUGUGAACCACAUGGACAAAUUUCCUGGGCCGAAUUUCAGUAUAUCAUUGAUGACUAUGGAGACAUAUUCUUUGAGAUUUUUGACGAUAGCAAUAUCUUACAAGAUCGAGGAGCAAGCAACCCUGUGAAUGUUUUGAUUGGGAUGGAUAUUCCAAUGUACGAGAAUAAAAAGGUAGUCAAUGAAUACAAUAUUUUCAAUGUUGGCAGUGAAGAUGAUAUACCAUUUGAUGAGGAUUACUUUGAGGUAAUGGAUUCGGAAGUCUCUGAAGUUCCAGUUGAUUGGGGAAUGCCAGAUACUUCCAGCUUGGUUCAUCCUAUUUAUUUUGCCAAGUGCAUGACAAAGGCAAUCAAUAUGGAAUACUAUAGAAAAAUGGACCAUCCAUCAAAUGGUGUUUCUAUUGUGGGUUGUCUGAGACCAGCUUUUUCUGAUGAAGAAUUAUACUUAAGAACAUCAUUUCACUGUGAGGAUAGUGAUGGCUAUAAUUCAGACCGGAAAGACACAGAAAUUUUGAGCUUUAACUCCAAAAGUGAUGUAAGCAGCUCUGGUUCAACUCUCCAUUGCUUGGAGAUCAUGAGAAUAGAGCUAUUUUCAUUGUAUGGAUCUCAGUCUGCGGUUAGUUUACAAGAUUUUCAAGAAGCAGAGCCUGAUGUCCUUGCACACUCGACUCCAGCAAUUUUAGAGCACUUUAGUGAAAAGGGAAGUAGAUGCAAUAUUGCUCUUAAAGCUCUUUGCAAGAAGAAGGGUCUUCAUGUUGAGAGAGCUAAUUUGAUUGGGGUUGAUAGCCUUGGCAUGGAUGUUAGAAUUUUCUCUGGGUUGGAAGCACGAACUCAUCGGUUUCCCUUCAAAGUCCGGGCUACCUGUAAAACUGCUGCUCGAAAGCAGAUUCAUCAGCUGUUGUUCCCUAGGGCUCGCCGAAAAAAGUUUAAAACUCACGAAGAUGAGCUUGGGGACUCCUCAUAUUUCUAACCUUGACGAGGGAACAAGAGAUUUAUUUUUAUAAUAAAGUCCAGGCUUGGUGGUUCGCGUUUCGUCCGUUUGUUUUUUAAUCUGCUGGAGAUUUGUCAGCAAAAGCAUUCUUUAAGUUUUCAAGCUAGACGAGCAACUCAAUGGUGGGAACGAGGGAGUGGUGGCGAAAAUCUUUGGUUGUGCACUUACGAUGUUUAAGCUUAGCCACACAUGCUGGUGAGACUAGGAAGCAAAUCUAGAGAAAUUGGUAUGCUUCUCUUGGUUUUUUUUAGCCAUUUAAGUUCAAUAUCCUGUGCAGUUGCCCCACAAAAAUAGCUAAAAAGUUUUCUGACAUAAACCACUUGUCAAGUUGGUGAAACAAAUCCCUAAACAUUCUAAACAUUAAGAAAGGUUAAGAAUAUACUUUAGAUUAUGACUGAUGAUAUGAGUAAGGCAACAACGUGUAAUACAACGUAAAAAGUAAAGAAAAUAAGAACUGCAAUUAUGCAUAAAAAAUUACUUCCAAGCUGCAAAUUGGUGAUUAUUGAACCCCCCCUCCUUUUCUGCUAACCAUUACCCCCAACUUAGCUGACACCUAUAGUUUGUUGGAGCAGGAGUGAGACGUGCGCUCUUUCUAACCCCUGAAAGCAGAUCCUGCAUUACGAUUUUUAGCUCCUGAGACUUUUCCCAUGUGCUCGUUUUUCAAGCUUUUUCUGCAUCUAGUGCCUUAUUAUGAUUUGUUCCCCCACACAUCUUUUCCCACAUUCUUGCUCUCAAUGUCUUGCUCAUCUGCAAUGCUGGUGCUAGCAAGAUCAUGCUUACUACUAUCCCUGGUUUUUGAGCUCCCAGGGAUAGUUUUUUGACCGCGGUUUCCAGAACAAGCCUCCUCGUCGAAAUGUUUACUUCUUUCUGCAUCUUCAUCUUCAUCACCAGCAUGGUGUUGAUCCUCUUCCUUGUCACCCCUGCAUAAACAACAUAAGAGUUGGGCACAUGUGAUAUGGUUUGCUCACAGAAGAGAUAAAAUGACCUAUCAUCAUGUUACCAAAGGAUGAGAUGGAGACCACAUGACAAGAAUGGUGAUAUAUUCAUUUUUCAUUCCCGUACACCAGAGUGAAAUUUCAGAGAUAUCAGACAUUUUUCAACUGCAUGCCAGCAAGUCAUUUUCCAAACUGAGUUGUCCGUGAAAAAGUAGUGAUUUAGGAAGCAUAGGGCUUCCAUACUAACACACUUUUUAUCACAUUAUGUAAAGAAUAGCAGCAUUCAUAGAUAUAGACAGUGAACAGAGACCAUCCUGCAAUCAUAGAUUGUGACACUAUUAAACUUUCACGAAAACUAAUUCUUUUAAUUUAAACUUAUAUUUAAAAUAAAUUGGGUCCCAUCAUUACACAAUUUUUACGCAUCUACCAAACAUCCUUAACCUUUACCCUUCAAUUACUUUUUUAAACCCUUGACACUUGACCUCUGAAAAUUUAAACUCCAAUUUUUAACCAUGAACUAAACACAAGCUAAGAAAAUGCCAAAAAAAUAAAAAGAAAAAUAGAAAAGAAAAGAAAAGAAAGAAAAAACCUGGAAAAUCUAACCUCCAAUUCCAGUGAAUACACGUUAGCCUAUCCUCAAAGCAUGAGGAAUAUUGCAGAUAAGUGUCUUCAUAGAAAAGUAACUUACAAUGAUGGACCAGGGGAGCUAAAAUGAAUGGAGCAUCCUUAACAUGACAGAAUUGGGAAUAGCCUAACCACUCAAACACCAUCAAGGUCUGUUUCAUGUAGCCUUAACUACGCAAAGCUAGUGUACAAACCUAACAUGACUAAAUAUUACUGUUUUUUGAACCUUGUAUCAAAAGUCUGUCAGACCUACUUCAUCCAAAAUAUUUUCCAUAAUCUAACCUCUGUAACCCUAACAGGGUUGAGCUUUGUAAGGACAUACAGUUCAUUCAAACUAGAGCACUCAUUUGCUAGUUAGUGCUCCUGAUGAAGGAGCUUAGGUAAACAGCAAAGCCAGAGAUUUCUGUUUUUCUUACGAAUUUAUCACAUAUGAAAUGGAGAUAAAUAUUCAAAGCAAAAUCCAAAAAGUUGCAUACCCAGAAUAAACGAUCAACCCAACAGCAACAGCAGCAAAGGCCACAAAGUACAUCCAAUCAACCUGAUCAAUAUUCCCAUCAGUGAGAAAAUUCCAUGUGUGAACAUUUGAACUUGCAUAAUACUUGAAUUCUCACAUUCAUACAAUGUUAUUAGUUAACAAACCUUCUCAUGAUAAGCAAAGAUGCGAAUCACAACAGCCCACAUGUCUGAUGUCAGCAAAGACAAGUUGAGCAUCGUGGAUCCACUAAUCUGUAAAUAGUGGGAGUUAGAAUAUUUAGGUGAGCAUGCGCACGCACUAUUAUAAACCAUCCAUGAGGUCAGUCUAAAUAACUCUUGCCCUCUAGCAUUGAAUAAAACUCUGAUAAUCACACUGAAUUUCACAUUUGUCCAAAAGUUACCGUUGCAAGUAUUAAAAAGUUACAAUUAUGACAAAUUAUAAGAUGGUAACCUUACUGGGCUGGUGAAAAACAAGUAAAAAAAUAAUAAUACAAAUCCUCUGAAGUUAAGACAUUGGAUGAAGGUGAUGGCAGCUUGAUAGUCUAGAAUAAAAUUUUAUUGUCAAAAUCAGUUAAGUACAGGCUUGAAGCAAUAACUGAAGCACAACUGAUGCAUAUGGAUUAGCUCCUUUCAUGUUAGCACCAAACCAUCACAGAUAACUGAAGCACAACUGAUGCAUAUGGUUGGCUUGGCACCAUCUCACAAAACAUCAAAUUUGUGCUAAAAAUCGAUGGAUGAUAAAGUAACAAAUGAAAAGCACCAUUAAUUUAGAAAGUAAUUAAUGACUAAUAAAAGAGCGAAACCAAAAUUAACCAUUGGUAGUGUAUACGAGGGAUAAAAACAGAUUUCAAUAAAUAUAAUCGGUGUUUUAGAUGCUAAGAAGAUUUUAAUCUAGUGCAUGUAAGCUACAGAUUUUGAAAAAGAUUUUCAAUUCAAAGAGGUAGCUCGCAAUCAUUCAUCACCCUUCAAACUACAAUUUCAAGUUCUUGAAUUCAAAGGCAGCCCACAUUCUUACUAAGUUUUAGUUAGUUCUAUGGUAACUCAAAUCCAUACCUUAAGCAAGAUCGGGACUGAAGAGUAGAACAGAAACAUUGCCACUGAAAAUCCAAAAAACGGAAGAGCCUGAAACCAACAACAUAAAGUAAACAUGAAAAGUUAAACUCUAACCGAAUAAUCCUCAAGACUUCUAUAUGUAUUAAAUUUAAAGACAAAUCAAUUCUCUAACAAUGUCAGACCAAUUGAUAAUAACUGAAUAUUUAAAAUCCUACAUUCAUUUUCAUAUCUUUCUCUUGAAUGUUUUUCGUCUGAGCCAUUAUAUGUAUGUAUUUGAAUUGAUUUUGGUUAAGAAUCAUCUAACACCAGAAGCAAAUUACAAAGAUGACCCCUAUACAGAACCAUUAAACAUCAGAUGUGAAGCUACCAUUCUAUUGUGAUUGCUGAGUCAUGUGAACAGGAAUAAAAGGAAAAACAAGUGUAAGAUACAUAUGCUUUGGAAGAAGAGGAUGGACAAGAAACAUACUGCCCCAGCUGACCAGUGAAUGGAUUUAACUUCGUUGCGCUCCAGAAUACUUCUGUAGAUAUCACUAAGGGAUACAAUUGCCAAAAACAAUUAAACAAUUUACCAACAUUGAAUGGCACAAUCAAGUUAGCCAAGUGAUCAUGAGUUUUGGAUAUCAUGAAGUUUUAAAGUCGAUUGUAGACAAUUUACACAGAAUAAAUUAAAGUAACUCAUCAGUAGAAAGGUUGAUGUUCCUCAUAGCCAUCAACCUUAGCCAUUAAGUUAAGGAUACAUUUGAAUGGCACUGAUUAUGGCACCAAAAAAACCCAGAAGCGACAUGAGCUCAACUCUAUCAGCAUUUUUUACAAGAAACUCCUGCAUAACAGAAGGAAAUAAAUGAAGAUAAACCUUUUCUAUUUACUGUGACAAGUAUAACAAUUUAUAUCCUUAAUACCUGUAUUGCUUUAAGCCCCCAUUGUCUUGAAAUGAUGAAUAAAAACUAAGACUUUAAACUAUUUAAGAAAACAAUUACUUACAAUUCAUAAUAAGAAAACUUCUAACCGAUAUCUGGAAAAUCAACUUCAGACCUAAAUCACUCUCCAAAAAAAAUAAAACUUCAGACCAAAAUCUCAAAUGAAAAAAGCCAGGCACCAUGUUUCUCUGUGUUUUCCUUUUCCUUUUUGUUUUUGGUUGCCUUUUUUAUAUGAAAAAGUUAUGCAGCACAUAUUAAUAGGAGGGUGACAAAUUUUUAACCUUCCUCCAAGGCCAAACUGAAGACCUAAACUUAAAACAAAAGUUGGAUUAAGACUAUCAAUUUAUACACGCUAUAAUUAGCUAAACAAAAAGUCAGUAACACUUCUUUGAAGAAGUAAGAUCAUGAGAGAACAACUACCAAAUGGAAGCAGCAUGGAGGAUCAGAGAACAAGCACUGAUUUUCACCUAGACAAAAUUAUAGCACGCAAUUUGGCUUACCUCACUGACAUUACUGAUAGCAUACAGCGUUGCUCCAGCAAUAACAAGAGCAUCUCCUUUACGAGGGUUGCUCCCACCUACAAGAAAGAAGCUCACUUGUUAAGAGAUUAUCAUUCAAUUCUAUGAGACAAAACUGUAAUGGAAAUGGUUACGAAAUGUUAUACACAACAACAAUGCUACAGUUGCAUCUCAAAUAUGAGAGUUUAAGUACAUUCAGUAUCUCCAGAAGGGAGAAUCAAGGCAUACAAGGUAAAUUGAUAAUACCUUAGAACAUGUUGGCUUAUAGCUGUAGGUCAAUAUCUUUCUGCACUCGAUAUAUCAAUAGCCACAUCCCAAAAAGAACCACGGAUUCAUGAACAUGAACGAAAGCACACAUGUAUAUAGUAAAACUAUUCUCCUAUCUAGCACAUUCAUUUAGAGAGUGAAAUGAGAGAAAAAUCAAACAACCCUUGCCUACCUUACAAGCGAGUGAAACUAUCAAAACACGAACAUAACAUGCUAUCCUCAAAGACAGCUCAAUGAAAUUGGAAAAUAUUCCAUCCAAAAGCUACAUUAUGAUUUAACUUAAGGUCAUGGAACAGACAUCAGUCAAACAAUAAAGAAAAAUUAAUUAAAGAGAUAGGGCAAAGUUACCUGAUCGAUCACCAGCGUGAACAUCUGAAAAAACAACCAUAACAAGGCCUGCAACACAAACAGCUACUCCAGCUAUUUUCUUGAAUCUGUACUUUGUGCUCAAGAAAAACCAUGUAAGAACCAUAACAGAAGGGAUUGACCAACAGUCCAGCAGCAUGACACUUGUGAUCGAUGUGUAUUGAUAGGCCUUCACCAC